AGGAGGCCUUCGUCUUCCCUUUGGCAUUUCCUGUUCUCAGACAGCUUGAUGUGAAAGCAGUCGCGUCUCUUCUUGCUUGUGAUUUAUGCCAGAAGAUUGAUGCGUCAUGAUUCUGGCGUCUGGAUGUGAGUUUGGGUCUCUGCUGUAUCUGUCUGCCCCUACCUCAGUUUGGAGACAAAGAGAGCUGUUGGACAGCCUGAUGAAGAUGACCAUCAGGCGAUCGUCUUUGCCUGAUGAUCAGCCUUUCUGAUGCUGCUGAGCCACUGACUUGGAAGUCACUCUCAGUUUUGCAAGACAUUGUAUUAACAGCUUUCACUUUGUCAUUCUGAGUCCCUCCAACGAUUCUGGAUGUGGGUCAGGAAAUCGUCAGGAAACACGAUACGAAGGCCACAAAAAGUUUGAAGUCUCUUUGCAUUUUACAAAGGGAUACUUGAGCGAGGGAUACUUGUAUACAUCUGAAUCUGUGCAUAUCGUUUUGAAAUGUCACAAAUUCAGAUUUGCACUUCCAAUUCUAAUUUAGACAAAUCGCUACAGUUGCUUGUGGCAUAAACAAAGACGUUUAAACUUAAUGACAUACAUGCUGAGCUUGAGUUGAGGUGUUGAGACUAUGAGGUCACUGACAUGAGAUUCAAGGAGGGAUGAAGUAAAAUACUGUCUGCUUGUUUUUCUUGGGCUUUUUUUUCUCUGUUAAUUGUCUUUUUUUGUCUCUUUGCACUUCCUGUGACUGAGUAUCUUUUAGUUCCUGCUUGUCAAGCCUACAGCUGCAUAUAAUGUUUUGAUUGUACACUGCCUUUGUAUAUGUCACCAUGGUGACUACCCAUUAUUUCCAUUAGCUCGGCCUUCAAUAAAGAUUGCAUGCUUACCUUG